AGAUAAAUCAACUAUUUAGCUCUGUUCUAACCAAUGGACUCACUUUGGAAAUUAGAGUCAGGAAACUGGACGUACUGCCUGGAAACAUUUUUCCCGCCAAUGCUACGCUGUCAACUGUACCAAGUGGCAUCUCCUCUGAUGUAGCUUUGAAAUUGUUCGACAAUUGGGUUCUGGCACAGAAUUUAUAUAACCUCACAAAGUUUGAUUUUGCUUUUCUGUUAACUGGAUUUGAUCUUUACGGGUCAGCUGGCUCUUUCACUGCUGGCUACGCCCAUGUUGGUAAAAUGUGUGAUCCGAAAUUAG
rnacentral:sRNA from 1 species